rnacentral:tRNA from 1 species
GCCCUUGUGGCGCAAUCGGUUAGCGCGUUCGGCUGUUAACCGAAAGGUUGGUGGUUCGAGCCCAACCAAGGAGG